CAAUACAAAGGCUUAACAGAGUUUAACAGAGACCAGACAGGACAUGCCUGUUAAACUCUGGCAAGGCUUCGUUUUG